UUAAGAUUGGACCCCGAUGGUUGCAUGAAUUUAGGCCUGAAAGUCCUUACAACAAUGGAGGUAGUACUUCCACUGAGCGUACCUCCAAAACUUCCUACCCUCCAUGUCUCUAAUCUUGUUACUUAUUAAAUAACAAUAUUUCACUAGCUCCACCAUGCAACGAACGAGGUCCUAGCGCAACGACCGGGGCCCCUUCAAGACCCAGCAUAACUGACCAAAAAAAAGAGAUCUCACAGACUCACGUUGCACGCAACAUUCUUCGCUCAGAAUGACCUACCGAACACGUGGCGAAGUUUGUUGGGAACUUCAGCAGACACCCUGUAAGUUCUUGGCGCGCAAAUCACUGGCAACGGCAGAAAUGUACGCGAGGAGCAAACGAGACGCGCAGCAUCGGCAAACGGAGGCCAACGCGAGCGGGGAAGAAAGAAGGAGGACUGGUAGAAGAGGAGAGGACGUCGAAGGACAGGCCCAUUGAAACAGAGAGCAAUUUACGAGGCAUCCGAGAGAGACGACGCGAUGCCACGCGUCCGAAGAGGAGAAUGCAAGGAGCGUGGGAGAGAGAGACGAGAGAGAAAAAGUUUUUCGUAUGUACCCUUGGGCAAUGUGUACGUUUAUAUCCCGAACGAAAGAACAUUACUCGCGCAACCGCGCAUGCGUGUCCGUUGUCCCACCUCCUCCGCCUCCACUUCUUUCUUCGGUGUCUCCUUCGACCGCUGUUUAACUCUUUUCUCCCUCUCACCCUCCAUUUUUGUUCUUCUUUUUCGUCGCGCUUUUGUCACGCGUCUGGGUGUCAGUCUGUUGUGCGGUUCCACGAAACGAUCGUGCCCCGUUUCUUCUUUUUCUUUUCUUUUUCGGUCGAACGAGUCGCGCUGCAGUUUAGCCCGGCGUUCCUUUUUUUUCCGUCGCCCAGGCAGCGAGUUAAUUGAAAGGAGCGGAAAGGUUACUUAGGCGGGUUUUGUCCUUCGAGCACACUUCCGCUUGGAAUUCCAGCUUGGAAUUCCUCGUAUCGGAAGUCAUCCAUUUUUAACGGAGGCAUCCUUGGUCAGCCUUGAGAAUUGCGGAAAGAAGGUUGCGAUUUAGGACGCUCGGACAGCUUCGACAGCGGACUAAAAUAUGCUACGCGCGACAGACACCAUUGGAAUUGCGACCGUAGGGCGUAGCCAUGUUCGUUAAAUUCCACGGGAACGUUAACGAGCGAUCGACUCUUUUCGGAGCGGUAUCGCCGCAAGGAGGACUAAAGGAAGGACUAAGUACCGAGCGACAGUUGAGGUUCUUCCAUCUUCUUCUAGGUCUAAAGUGAGGCUUCUGGUCGUCAGUAUUCCGGAAUCCUGACCCGGGACGGUUCUCAGACCUAAGCCUACUUAAAACACUAAGACCCUUAAUUAUGGUUUACUGUUCGACAAGUAUAUAUCAUUAGAUAGUCCUAAAACACUCGUAACCAAAAGACUAUCACUACUAUAAA